UGACCUUGGGGACUGGUUUAGAAGGUGUUCUAACCUGAGCGAAAGCGCAACCGACCUUUGGGUCAUCUUUGGUUGACAUCAAAGAGCCUUUAGAGGCUAAACUUGAGGACACAUUUGAGUUGGUUUUAAGAUGAGUAUUGGGAGCCUUUACCAGAAGUGAAGUGUCAAUCUGAGAAGCUGGAAUACCCGGAUCGCUUAGCUACGUGAACUCGACAAAAGGCGUUGUUUAUCGGUGGGUCUGACCUUCACGAAAUAGGUGAAUUCCCUCUAUGUCUCUUUUGACAUCUGAGUUGAAGUUUGUACAUAUUCAGGUGAAUAUAUGUAUAGUUCAAGGCAUUGAGACAUACAUUAAUGAGUAGAUCAUAUCGGAUAUGAUGGCAUUUCUAAACAGUGAUGGAAGACUUAUGAUUUGUUCUCGUUACAUAGCCACUUGUCGGAUUACUAUGCAUGCAUGAUAUUAGUAGCUUGUAUAAGCAAUUUCACUUGAUGUCAUUCAAGUGGAUAUAAUGGUAAGAUCACGAAUGUACCAAUUAACUUGGUUGAACGACAAAGAGAUUGAUGUACU